CGAUGAUCCGGUGCUUGCACCGGGGAUUAGUGGCGAACGGGUGAGUAACACGUGAGUAACCUGCCCUUGACUCUGGGAUAAGCCUGGGAAACCGGGUCUAAUACCGGAUACGACCUGUCACCGCAUGGUGGCGGGUGGAAAGAUUUUUUGGUUUUGGAUGGACUCGCGGCCUAUCAGCUUGUUGGUGAGGUAAUGGCUCACCAAGGCGACGACGGGUAGCCGGCCUGAGAGGGUGACCGGCCACACUGGGACUGAGACACGGCCCAGACUCCUACGGGAGGCAGCAGUGGGGAAUAUUGCACAAUGGGCGAAAGCCUGAUGCAGCGACGCCGCGUGAGGGAUGACGGCCUUCGGGUUGUAAACCUCUUUCAGCAGGGAAGAAGCGAAAGUGACGGUACCUGCAGAAGAAGCGCCGGCUAACUACGUGCCAGCAGCCGCGGUAAUACGUAGGGCGCAAGCGUUGUCCGGAAUUAUUGGGCGUAAAGAGCUCGUAGGCGGUUUGUCGCGUCUGCUGUGAAAGCCCGGGGCUCAACCCCGGGUCUGCAGUGGGUACGGGCAGACUAGAGUGCAGUAGGGGAGACUGGAAUUCCUGGUGUAGCGGUGAAAUGCGCAGAUAUCAGGAGGAACACCGAUGGCGAAGGCAGGUCUCUGGGCUGUAACUGACGCUGAGGAGCGAAAGCAUGGGGAGCGAACAGGAUUAGAUACCCUGGUAGUCCAUGCCGUAAACGUUGGGCACUAGGUGUGGGGGACAUUCCACGUUUUCCGCGCCGUAGCUAACGCAUUAAGUGCCCCGCCUGGGGGAGUACGGCCGCAAGGCUAAAACUCAAAGGAAUUGACGGGGGGCCCGCACAAGC
rnacentral:rRNA from 1 species